UGGACUUGUGGGGUAGUGGAUAUCCUUUCGGGCUUCGAACCCGAAGAACCGGGUUCGAUCCCCGGCAAGUCCGU
rnacentral:tRNA from 1 species